rnacentral:snRNA from 1 species
AGACAGCAGGACGGUGGU